rnacentral:tRNA from 1 species
GCCUGGAUGGCUCAGUCCGUUGAGUGGUCGACUUCGGCUCAGCUCAUGAUCUCUCACGGAUCGUGGGUUCGAGCCCCACGUCAGGCU